GGUUGAUCCUGCCAGUAGUCAUAUGCUUGUCUCAAAGAUUAAGCCAUGCAUGUCUCAGUGUAAACUUUUAAACAGUGAAACUGCGAAUGGCUCAUUAAAACAGUUAUAGUUUAUUUGAUAUUCAAUUUACAUGGAUAACCUUUGUAAUUCAAUGGCUAAUACAUGCGUUCUCGCAAGAGAUGUGUUUAUUAGAUUAUAAACCAAUACAUUAGCAAUAAUGUUUAAUUGGAAUGAUAAUAACCGAUCGGAUCGCACGCUUAUGUGGCGACAGAUCAUUCAAGUUUCUGAUGUAU
rnacentral:rRNA from 1 species